rnacentral:rRNA from 1 species
UACGGAGGGUGCGAGCGUUGUCCGGAAUCACUGGGCGUAAAGGGCGCGUAGGCGGCGCGGGCAGUAACGGUGAAAGCUUGGGGCUCAACCCCGAGUCGGCCGUCGAUACUCCCGUGCUUGAGCACUGUAGAGGCAGGUGGAAUUCCGGGUGUAGCGGUGAAAUGCGUAGAGAUCCGGAAGAACACCGGUGGCGAAGGCGGCCUGCUGGGCAGUAGCUGACGCUGAGGCGCGACAGCGUGGGGAGCAAACAGG